rnacentral:lncRNA from 1 species
CAAAUUAAGUUGUCUCACAGUUCAAUGAAAAGGCAACUGCUAAAGAUAAUUCAAGGACUUGUAUACGUAACAGACAGGAAAUCUAUUUUUUCUUUUAGUUUGACAGAUCGAUCAUACAGAAAAAAAAAAAAAAAAAAGCCAGGAAGACUACCCGGCAUAAACUUCAAUUGCCUCCAUCCUCCUCAGCCAAAACUCCUUUUUACCUCUUCAACUUUUCAGGAGCCAGAAUGUAAGGGGUGUAGCUUUGUUCGAUCCACCCAGUCUUGGACAAGCAUAGAAGGAUCAGAUGGAGCAGAACAGAGGGUUUGAAAGGAUCAUCUCCCAAACACAAGGACUGUUGUUAGGACUGGACACUGUCUGCCUUGUCACUAUCUACCUGUGUAAUCACCAGGCACAACGAAGGCUAUUCAUUGAAGACCCCACUCUGGGCUUCUUUGGCAUGCUUAACACUUCCGCUGACUAUAAGGGUCUUCGGAGUGUUCAAAGGAUAAAAGACUGAACACUAUUUAUGGUUUUGCUGCUAUUGGGAGGGUGGCUGAAAUCCGAAAUUCUGUUCUCAGACCAUGCUCAGUUCCUUCAGCUGAAUGGAUAGUAAAAAUAAAUAAAUAACCAUUAAAAAGAUGACCA